rnacentral:sRNA from 1 species
UGAAUGUGAGUAGAUGUGUGCAAUCGUUACAUGAGGAUGUGUUUGUAACAAUCGAAUUAAUUCAAUUGCGCCAUAACCGCUACCGCCAACGAUACCUACUUUAAUCAUCAUGAAUCCCUCCUAUAUCAUAUAUAAAUGAUUAAUUGUUAAUUUUUAAAAACG